rnacentral:rRNA from 1 species
AGAGAUGUGUGAUGACGCAUAUCAAUAAGCGGAGGAAAAGAAACUAACAAGGAUUCCCUUAGUAACGGCGAGUGAAGCGGGAAGAGCUCAAAUUUGAAAUCUUCAAGGUUCUACCUUGACGAAUUGUAGUUUAUAGAAGUGUUUUCUGUUAGAGGAGUGGUAAAAGUUCUUUGGAAUAGGACAUCAUAGAGGGUGAGAAUCCCGUAUUUGAUCAUUCCUUUCUAGCUUUGUGAUACACUUUCAACGAGUCGGAUUGUUUGGGAAUGCAGUCCAAAAUGGGUGGUAAAUUUCAUCUAAAGCUAAAUAUUGGCGAGAGACCGAUAGCGAACAAGUACCGUGAGGGACAGAUGAAAAGAACUUUGAAAAGAGAGUUAAACAGUACGUGAAAUUGUCAAAAGGGAAGCGUUUGACACCAGUGUUGUUUUUCCGAAAAUCAAUUACGAAUGUUUAUGUUUUCGAGGAGUUAUGACUUCAUCGGCUUGCUUCUUUCUUUAUGAAACUUUCUUAAUGCACUUUUCGGUUAACAAGUCAACAUCAAUUUCUUUUGUUGUAAAAGGGUAUGAGGAAGGUGGCUUUCUUUUCGGAGAAAGUGUUUAUAGCCUUGUAGCCUCUGCAAUCGGAGAGAUUGAGGUCUGCAGCGUAGAUCCUUCGGGGUUAGAUACAUUUGUGCUAAGUUAUAGCUUUUCAUAGACAACUUGCUGACUAUGUUUAGUCUUGUAGCUUACUCGCUUAUGCUAUUUUACCUACGCUUAGGAUGUUGAGUAGCGACAUACGCAC